rnacentral:antisense_RNA from 1 species
GGCGUGGUGUCUGGCAGGCAUGUGGGAGUCUCGGGGGCUGCAGCUCAGGACCCUACCCCCAGCACUCACCUGAGGCCCGACCUCCAAGCAGGCCUGGGAGGGAAGGGCUGUAUACCGUUGCCAUGGAUACCAGCACCCAGAAGGGGUGGGGCUGUUUGUUACCAGGAGCCUCCAGGGAGACCCCAGACCACGCCCCUGGAGACAGGGUCUUGCUCUGCUGUCCAGGCUGGAAUGCUUCGGUGUGAUGACAGCUCCCGUUAACGUCGAAUUCCUGGGCUCAAGUGAUCCUCCCACUUCCGCCUCCUGACUUGCUGAAACUACAGGCACCUGCCUCCACCGCCAGGCCCAGCCCACAGCUCCUUUGACCUCAGUGACAGGCACUCACCUACCUGACCCCCAAACUGAAGCCUCACCUUUCCCAGCCGUCUCCACACCCUCUGGGCUACCCCAUUACCAUGACAAGUAUUCCCUCUGCUCCAGGAGAAAAGCGAGGUCCCAGACCUGACCCAUAAAACCCAAUCAUUCC